GAGUGGGCCUUCACGGUCUCUCCUAGGAACCUCCAUCUGAGUACCAUCGGGUCUAAGCAGGGUUGGCUGGUGUACAGCUCAGCUCAGGAUACUGACGGUCGGUGUAUCUGCACAGUGGUGGCUCCUGAACAGAACCUCUGCUCCAGAGACGCCAAGGGAAGACAGCUCCGCCAGCUACUGGAGAAGAACAUGUCCCAGUCCAUUGAGGUGUUGAACCUGCGGACCCAGAGGGACUUCCAGUACGUCAUGAAGAUGGAGAAUCAGAUGAAAGGGCUCCAGACCACGCUCAGACAGAUAGAAGACGACAGGAAGACCAUUAUAACCAGGAACUUCCAGUCUUUUUCUCUCUCUUCUGAGCUGAAGAACAAGAUGGAUGAGCUGCAGCCUCUGAUCCCUGUUGGAGCAGUACAAGACAGACGCCCAAACCUGUCCAUGGUGCUCACAGCUAUUCAGGAGGAGAUGGGGGCAUACGACUAUGACGAGCUCUACCAGAGGGUCCUCAGACUGGACAGCAGGCUGCACAACUGCAUGGGCAAACUCACAUGUGGGAAAUUAAUGAAAAUCACUGGACCUGUAACAAUAAAGACAUCUGGCACCCGGUUUGGAGCAUGGAUGACUGACCCACAGGCCUCUCAGAGAAACAACAGGGUCUGGUACAUGGACAGCUACACCAACAGUAAGAUUGUACGUGAGUACAAGACCAUGGACGACUUUGUAGCUAACGUGGUGUCUCGAACCUACAACCUCCCAUUUAAAUGGGAGGGAACCGGUCACGUGGCGUACAAUGGGUCUCUGUAUUACAACAAGUACCAGAGUAACAUCAUCGUCAAGUACAGUUUUGAGACGGGUCGGGUGCUGGCUCAGCGGGCUCUGGAGUACGCCGGCUUCCACAAUACCUACCCUUACUCCUGGGGAGGAUACUCCGACAUCGAUGUCAUGGCCGACGAACUGGGCAUGUGGGUAGUGUACGCAACCAAUCAGAAUGCGGGAAAUAUCGUCAUCGCCCAGAUGGACCCGGACACCCUGGAAGUCCGGAAGACGUGGAACACGGAAUAUUCCAGACGGAACGCGGGGGAAUCCUUUAUGAUCUGCGGAACACUCUACAUCACCAACUCUCACCUGACGGGUGCUAAGGUCUACUACGCGUACUCCACCAAGACCUCCAGCUAUGAGUACACAGACAUCCCUUUCCACAACCAGUACUUUCACAUCUCCAUGCUGGCCUAUAACUCCAGGGAGAGGCACCUCUAUGGCUGGAACAAUGGACACCAGGUGCUGUUCAAUGUCACUCUGUUCCACGUCAUCAAAACCCAAGACGACUCCUAGAGGACACGGGAGAUGAAAUGUCACAAGUCCUCAUAUGGACACCGUAGAAAUGACAACAGCAACUUUCCAAGGCAAAGCGCCAUCAUUUGUGAUAUAAAAUGGGACCUUGUUGCUUACAACCUUGUUCAUGUUUUUCCUCACCUCCUCCCUAAAGUGAACUGCUCUGUCAUUACGUUGCCAUUACUUGAAGAAAUUGCCCUUUUUUGUAUUUUCUGGGCCAGAACACUUGAGGUGACUUGAACACAGACAGAAUGUCAUAUAUCCUAUUUCUCCUCUCUUCUUCUUUUUUUAUUUUCCCAUCUCUGCUGAAAUAGGAGUUUACUUUAUGGCCUUAUUUACUGCUGUCUUUACGUUCUCUAUGAUCCUCUUCUUUUCCCAUCUCUGCUGAAAUAGGAGUUUACUGUAUGGCCUUAUUUACUNUUACUGCUGUCUUUAGGUUCUCUAUGAUCCUCUUCUUUUCCCAUCUCUGCUGAAAUAGGAGUUUACUGUAUGGCCUUAUUUACUGCUGUCUUUACAUUCUCUAUGAUCCUCUUCUUUUCCCAUCUCUGCUGAAAUAGGAGUUUACUGUAUGGCCUUAUUUACUGCUGUCUUUAGGUUCUCUAUGAUCCACGGACUCUUGAUAGAUAUGUGCAUGAAUGUCUGACAUUUUGUCUGCUGUAAUUUACGAUGAUAUAGUGUAUUUUCAAUGUUUCCGUUCCAGAUGUCCUUCAGUUCUCACAGUGUUUGUAGUGACGUCUAUUGAUAGUAUUUAAACCUAGUUUGAGGUCCUCUCCAGAGUAUUUGCUGCCAUGUUACAUGAACAGUCUGAUUAUGGAAAACAUUGUGGUAACAAUUGUAUGUCUCUAUGCGAAAGCUAAGUAAACAUUUUGUUUGUUAUAAAAUACUGUAUCAAAAGUGUA
ensembl:lncRNA